rnacentral:pre_miRNA from 1 species
UAGGUAAUCCCUCCAUUCCAUAAUUCUUGUCGGAAUAUUACAUGUAUCUAGACACCUUUUAGGAAUAGAUACAUCCAUUUUUAGACAAAUUUGAGACAAGAAUUAUGGAAGGGAGUGAGUAGUUU